CGAAGCAAUUGCUAAAAACAUAAUAAUAAUAAUAAUAAUAAGAAAAAAAAACUUCAAAUACCACCACUGAGUUUCAUAUUUUUUUAUUUUAGUAUUUUAUAAUUUAAAGUGUAUUAAUUUAAUACUUCGUAAUUUUAUUUUUCUAUUUUUAUUAUGCCAUCCACUAAUUUUUUUCAUUAAAUCAGUAACAAAGUUAAAACUAAAAAUGCUAAAGUGAAUAUUUGAUAAACCUAGAUAGAGUAUUUGAAGUUUUUUUGUAUAUAAUUUAUCAAAAUAUUAAUGGGGGAGUUAACGGAAAGAGAAAUAUAAAAUCAAAGGGUACUAAAUGAAUACACUUUAAACCAUAUGAUACUAAAGUGAGAACGUAUGAAACCACAAGGGUGGUUUUUGAAGCUUACCAUAAUAAUAAUAAUGUAGUUAAGAGU
rnacentral:lncRNA from 1 species